AUUGAACGCUGGCGGCAUGCCUUACACAUGCAAGUCGAACGGCAGCACGGGGGCAACCCUGGUGGCGAGUGGCGAACGGGUGAGUAACACAUCGGAACGUGCCCAGUAGUGGGGGAUAGCUCGGCGAAAGCCGGAUUAAUACCGCAUACGACCUACGGGUGAAAGCGGGGGAUCGCAAGACCUCGCGCUAUCGGAGCGGCCGAUGUCAGAUUAGGUUGUUGGUGGGGAAAGGCCUACCAAGCCGACGAUCUGUAGCUGGUCUGAGAGGACGACCAGCCACACUGGGACUGAGACACGGCCCAGACUCCUACGGGAGGCAGCAGUGGGGAAUUUUGGACAAUGGGCGCAAGCCUGAUCCAGCCAUG
rnacentral:rRNA from 1 species